rnacentral:rRNA from 1 species
UACGUAGGGUGCGAGCGUUGUCCGGAAUUAUUGGGCGUAAAGAGCUCGUAGGCGGUUUGUCACGUCGGGAGUGAAAACUCAGGGCUCAACCCUGAGCGUGCUUCCGAUACGGGCAGACUAGAGGUAUGCAGGGGAGAACGGAAUUCCUGGUGUAGCGGUGGAAUGCGCAGAUAUCAGGAGGAACACCGGUGGCGAAGGCGGUUCUCUGGGCAUUACCUGACGCUGAGGAGCGAAAGCAUGGGGAGCGAACAGG